rnacentral:rRNA from 1 species
AAAUUGAAGAGUUUGAUCAUGGCUCAGAUUGAACGCUGGCGGCAGGCCUAACACAUGCAAGUCGAGCGGUAGCACAGAGAGCUUGCUCUCGGGUGACGAGCGGCGGACGGGUGAGUAAUGUCUGGGAAACUGCCUGAUGGAGGGGGAUAACUACUGGAAACGGUAGCUAAUACCGCAUAACGUC